AACGAACGCUGGCGGCGCGCUUAACACAUGCAAGUCGAACGAGAAGGCGUAGCAAUACGCUGGUACAGUGGCGAACGGGUGAGGAAUACAUGGGUAACCUACCCUCGAGUGGGGGAUAACCCGCCGAAAGGCGGGCUAAUACCGCGUACGCUUCCGAUCUUGCGGGAUCGGAAGGAAAGCUGUCCCAAGGGGAUGGCGCUCAAGGAUGGGCUCAUGUCCUAUCAGCUUGUUGGAGGGUAACGGCCUACCAAGGCAUCGACGGGUAGCUGGUCUGAGAGGACGAUCAGCCACACUGGCACUGCGACACGGGCCAGACUCCUACGGGAGGCAGCAGUGAGGAAUAUUGCGCAAUGGGCGAAAGCCUGACGCAGCGACGCCGCGUGGGGGA
rnacentral:rRNA from 1 species